rnacentral:siRNA from 1 species
UACAAUGAUGGUUCUAAGCAA